rnacentral:rRNA from 1 species
GACGAACGCUGGCGGCGUGCUUAACACAUGCAAGUCGAACGGAAAGGCCCUGCUUUUGUGGGGUUCUCGAGUGGCGAACGGGUGAGUAACACGUGAGUAACCUGCCCUUGACUUUGGGAUAACUUCAGGAAACUGGGGCUAAUACCGGAUAGGAGCUCCUGCUGCAUGGUGGGGGUUGGAAAGUUUCGGCGGUUGGGGAUGGACUCGCGGCUUAUCAGCUUGUUGGUGGGGUAGUGGCUUACCAAGGCUUUGACGGGUAGCCGGCCUGAGAGGGUGAACGGCGACAUUGGGACUGAGAUACGGCACAGACUGCUACGGGAGGCAGCAGUGGGGAAUAUUGCACAAUGGGCGGAAGCCUGAUGCAGCAGCGCCGCGUGCGGGAUGACGGCCUUCGGGUUGUAAACCGCAUUCGCCUGUGACGAAGCGUGAGUGACGGUAAUGGGUAAAGAAGCACCGGCUAACUACGUG